rnacentral:rRNA from 1 species
UACGUAGGGGGCAAGCGUUGUCCGGAAUCAUUGGGCGUAAAGCGCGUGUAGGCGGCUCGGUAAGUCCGCUCUGAAAGCCCGGGGCUCAACCCCGGGAGGCGGGUGGAUACUGCUGAGCUCGAGUCCGGAGGAGGAGUGUGGAAUUCCUGGUGUAGCGGUGAAAUGCGCAGAUAUCAGGAGGAACACCAAUGGCGAAGGCAGCACUCUGGGACGGUACUGACGCUGAGGAGCGAAAGCGUGGGGAGCGAACAGG